AAUUAAAAGGGACAGUUGGGGGUAUUCAUAUUCAAUAGUCAGAGGUGAAAUUCUCGGAUUUAUGGAAGAUGAACAAGUGCGAAAGCAUUUACCAAGGAUGUUUUCAUUAAUCAAGAACGAAAGUUAGGGGAUCGAAGAGGAUUAGAUACCCUCGUAGUCUUAACUAUAAACGAUACCGACUAGAGGUUAGUGAAGGUCAUUGUGUCUUGACUAGUAUCUUAUGAGAAAUCAAAGUCUUU
rnacentral:rRNA from 1 species